rnacentral:rRNA from 1 species
GACGAACCGUGCGAACGUUAUUCGGAAUCACUGGGCUUAAAGGGCGCGUAGGCGGGUCACCAAGUCCGGGGUGAAAUCCCACGGCCCAACCGUGGAAGUGCCUUGGAUACUGGAGACCUCGAGGGGGAUAGGGGCGUGCGGAACUCAGGGUGGAGCGGUGAAAUGCGUAGAUAUCCUGAGGAACACCGGUGGCGAAGGCGGGUCUCUGGGCCGAUACUGACGCUGAGGAGCGAAAGCGUGGGGAGCGAACAGG